CAGCAAUGCACUGCAAGUCCUUCCUUGCAAAGCUCGUGCUUGGUGUGAGAGCUGCUCCACGCUCCAGAACACCAGCAGGAAUUUCUUGUUAUUCUCCAUGAGGCCAGGAUGUUACCCUCCUUGUCCCAGAGCUUACCAAGAAUUGUUAGAAGCUUUCUCCUUAAUGAAGAAGAUGGUGACACUGAGGUGAGGCACUGAAAGGUGAAACAACUCUCCUAAUUUUCCAUAAUGAGCCAGUGGCAACAGAUCUAUGAAUGAAACCCAGGCAUCCUGCCGCGAUUACUCCACAAACCCCACAUCCUUAUCUCUUACAGGAAAACAUGGUCAAAGAGAACGUCUGGGCGGCGAAUGCCGACCGCCGGGCCGGAGCUCCAAGCUGCUGCGCUAACAUCACACACCCGCAGUGAGGGGAGCGCGGCCCGACGGGCUGGCCCCACGGAGCAGUUUAUAAAACAGCCAAAUGGAAGCCAAAAGACUUGAGUUUAAUCCCUCCAGUUAAGUCAUCUAGAUUCCUUCUCGCCACCAGCCAUCUGAUCUCAAUCAGCGAAUCUUGGCCUUCAUCUCCCAACCUAGAUGAGAGCCACAGCGCUGAGGCCUGAAGUCAUCUGCGUGCAAAAUGCUUUAGGAGCGAUACCUCCACGAGGGAUUUGUUAUUACUAUAAAUAAUAAUAAUAAUAAUUUCCCAAAAGCACUCUAAUGUGAAAGCAGUAUACAAACAUGAAAGGAGUCUUAAUAACGUUUCCCUUCAGUGAUUUGGUAGCACUCUGUAAUGUUCUUCCAUUUAUUUUUAACACCUACAGCGUAAGUUGGAAAAUAAGUAGUAAUACGAAUGUACUAAAACCAG
ensembl:lncRNA